AGAAGAAUAAGAUAGAGAUUAGAGGAACAAAAAGCUGCAUGCUUAUCAAAUUAAGCAUGUAGUUGAGAAAUUAAUACAAGAAAAUACACGCUAGCUAGCAUCAUAAUUCCAUAUCAGCAUAUGCAUAGAAAAGAAGAGGAGGCUAUUGAGUAAAACUUGUAUUAUUGUGGUAGAAUACUCAUAAUAAGGGAUUCUAUGUCGAUAUUAGUGACGUCCAUAGAAUCCAGCAACUGAGAUAGUCUUUCACUUAAGUCAUCCACCUCUCUUUGUAGCUUCCUGAUGUAGCUGCAUGUUUCCUUCAAAAUUUUGGAUGCUGAUACCCUGGAGGACUGUCUUUGAUUAAGCUGGGGUAGCAAUGCUUGUAGUUUCAUGAUCAGCUCAUUAAUCUCAUCUUCAGUGAUUUUUGUGGCUCCUGAUGAUCUUCUGCUAGACAUGGCUGAAAAUCUGUGCUUGGCUGCUUGCUUUCUUUCAGUGCUUUGCUAUUUGCUACUAUCCGCACUCA
rnacentral:misc_RNA from 1 species